UUUGCUGUCAAACCAGAUAUUGAAAACUCCAAGCUACUCUCCCCUCAAAAUUGGCCCAGAUGUUCCACUUGGACUAAGAAAUACAAAUCUGCCUCUCUCUGGCUUGACUCCCCUCAUUAAUGCCUUGAUCUUUCUCAAGAUGGUUGUGUGGCUAUGGAGUCACAGCUGCCUUCCUGCUGCUUCCAAGCUUGUUCUCUCUGAACUGCUGCCACUAUCUCACACAAAGGUGGCAGUUUGUCACUUGGCAUGGAAGACCCCACGUGAAAGACACCUGGGGAAGAACUGGCUUGUGGAGUGAAAUGCAUAUCCAGCAGAUGAAACAUGAAGUGCAUAUCCAGCAGAUGAAACAAUCCUCUGACAAGGAGUUGAAAAUGUGUCUGCCAGGGAACCAGCGGUGGAAGAGUUGCCAAGAGCUUACUGCUGUCCCUGCAGAGGAGAGAUUCCCAGAUUGCACGGUGACAUUUAGUGGUAACCACAGUCCUCUUUGCUGGUGUCAGGCCUCUGAAUCUCUCCAGAAAAGGGGAAUAUCCAGCCUGUGCUCCUGCAUUUACAGAAAGGUGCCAUCCUGCCAGAACAACCUUUGAGAAGAGGUGGUGGAUAGACCAGGAAAUAAAAAGGUUGGUUGUUGUCAGUGGCACAUGAAGCUCUCUGGAGACAGCAGAAGGAGGAUCUCUCUUCUGAGAGAUGCUUUUACUUUGGCAAUAUCCAUAGAACAAGAAAUUUCUUCCUUGUCAAUCAGCUUUACCAUCAGACUUCAGGUUUAUUACUGUUUGAUGUGACGUGUUGUCCCAGCUAUUAGCCCAGACUGCUGAUUCAGCUGCAAAAAGAUAAAUUAGGCUUGAGAUGCAGCCCUGGACUUCUGGGGAAACCAUGCUGCCUUUCCUGGGAUACCUGUAGGAACAAUAAAAUGCAG